rnacentral:rRNA from 1 species
UUGUAAUGUGAGCAGCCUGGGUGCGUCAGUGCAGGUAAGUGACAUGAAAAUGUUCGCCGUGGAGGGUGAGAGCCCCGUCCAGCCUGCACAGGGCGUGCCGUACAGGGCUGUCUCGAAUGAGUCGGGUAGCUUGGGAAUGCUGCUCUAAGAUCGGUGGUAAAUUUCAUCGAAGGCUAAAUACUGCUGGAAGACCGAUAGUGAACAAGUACCGUGAGGGAAAGAUGAAAAGCACUUUGAAAAGAGGGUGAAAAGAAUCUGAAACCGUUGUGAGGGAAGCGGAUUGCGUUGCAGUAACUGUGGGCGCCGGUGUGUUCAGCCUGUUUCGGUGGGUGUAGUGGCACCGGUGGCUCCGUCUGCUGUGGGUUUGUGGUGGCUGAUUGCAAGGCUGCUGCGGACUGAGGGCUCCGUGCUGCUUUGCGGCGGCACGUGAGGACGGCAGGGUGACGACGCGAUACGACCCGUCUUGAAACACGGACCAAGGAGUCUAGCACAGCUGCGAGUCUGAGGGUGUCAAAGCCUGUGGGCGAAGUGAAAGCGAAAGAUGGCGGUAAUUCCAUAAUUUCAGAAUGACAAAGUUGUUGCAAUUUGGGG